rnacentral:lncRNA from 1 species
UUUUAAUUCAAAAUAUUCUUUCUACAAAAAUAUAUAUUUCAUACUUUUAUUAAUAUUGUUUCUAGUCCUACAUACAACAACAUCUAAUUUGUCAUUAAUUAUUUAAAACCAAAAUACAUAACCAUUUGUUAACCCAAACAUAUCUUUGAACAUAUUACAUACAAGUACAUAUAAAAUAAAUUAUCAAACAUAUUAAAUACAUACAUAUGAAAAUAUUGUGCAAUAAAUGCAUAUUUAAGUGAAACAUAUCGCAAAUACAUAAUUGAAAGAGUUAUACAUACAUACAAACAUAAUUUACGCAAAACAUGCAAACAAGUACAUACUAUAAAUUGAAAAAAAUAGUGCUACAACCUAAAAUACCAUAUAACAUACCAGCACAAAUACCAAACUUAAAAACUAUUAAAAAUUAAAACACCAAAUAAAUUUUCAACGCCAAUACAGUGCGACAAACAUACAAAACAGGACAUUCAGGUUGCUCUCGAGCAAAAGUUGAUUACCAUAAAAUAUAACUAAUACAUAAAAUACAUAGAAGCGAUGAAAUGCAAAAAAGCUGACGGAAAUAUGUGGAAAAUACCUAGAAGAAUAUGGAUCAAAGAAGCAGUAGUUAUGAUACUGCGAAACGAUAAGUUGCUAUACAAGGUAUUAUUUAAUGAAAAAAUCAUUCAAAAGUAAAUAGCGCCAACAUUAUUUACUACAAAUACAUACAUAUGUAUAUGGGUCACUCCAUUCAAAAUUUACAUUCGAGCAUUUCUUUGUACAAAAUAUUUUUUUUUUUUUGCAAAUGCAAAAUAUGAAUUAUUUUAAACAUUUUAACACACAAUUGCGACUAUUUUCAGGACUAUAUGUUUAAUGGAUGUUUAAUGAAAAUAUUUAGCAUAUAGAAGUAGCUAUAGAAAUGCAUAGAAAAGCAAUUUUAUCCACAGCUUAUUUAUGCACAACGUUAACCCAAACUUCAUAGACCACAUACAAAGGAAAGUACAGCGCAGGUAUUUGUCUUAUACUCGUACAUAGUUUACCAUAUGCUUAAGUAAAGAAGGCAUAAUGGACACGCGAAUGAGCGCGAAUAGCAAUACGACCUCGACGGAAAGACAUUUCUGCGCCCAAAGCCAAAUAAGCGAUGCGUGUGUGUUUUCUUUUUCUUCAAAACCAAAAAGAAAAUGAAUAAACUGAUAAAAUGUAAACCAACAACAAUCACUUUAAGCAUUCAAAAACAAAAAAAAAGAUGAAAUUUAUGAAGUAAAUAUGGACGAGAGAAAUUAUUGUACUAAAUAUUUAAAAAUAAAAAUAUUUAAAUUAUAUUAAAUGAAGUAAAAAAUUGAAACCAAAUAGUAAAUAAAUAUUAUUGGCAAAAAGGAAUUGAGCAUACAAAAAUAUUAUUACAAACAACAAAAAAAUUAUAUAAAUAUAUGAAUGAAUUUGUAGCGAUAUUUUUUUCUAAAUGUAAAAGAAACAUUAAAUGAAAUUAAAACAGUUUUUUAGCGCUUAAGCUUUACUAGUAUUUAUAUAUUAAAAACGUAAUUUACACAUUAUUAAGAUCGAAGAGAUCUGACAAUUAAAUGUGUGGCAAAAAUAGGAAGGUAAAAAUUAAAUUUACAAGCAAUUUGUCUUAAUGAUCGUGUGUGUUGGCGGCAGCCGAAGAUACACAAAAAUAGACACACCGACACAAAAAAUUGGAAAGUAUUACAAAUAAAAGGAGUUUAAAACCGUAAUUGUACUUUUUGAUGUAUAGUAUAUGUGUGUAAAUGAAUUUUCAACGCUGUGUAAAAUAAUUACACUGAGCGAAAUAACUCAACAGCAACACAUACACAACUUUUUAUUUGAUAAAACAAAACGAUAGCAGCUAGUAAAAUUGUGCAGUUUUUUUAUUGAAGAUUUUGAAGUGCUUUAACUAGAUUUUUCCUGAUUUUGCUUACUUAAGGGCAUACCUAACCUCACAUUUAUACACUUAUGCGUAUUUCAUUAUUAAAGUGAUUAAUUUAGACAACAAAUAAAUUUUUUAAGAAAGAAUUUUUAUAAUUUUUUAACGCGUAUGUCUUCAAUAACUAAAAAGAGAGCUGUAAAAAGAGAGAGAGAGAGUUUCAAAAACCUAACAACCAAAACAAAAAAUGCUAAUAAAAAAACCUGCUAAAUUUCAAAUUGGUUGUCCAUUUUGCAGUCAAGAGCUUUUCUGAAAGUUUGCUCAUUUUUUUUUUUUUGCUCUCUCACUCAUACGUUCCUUAUUAUUGCACUCUCUCUGCUUUAAUAGUCUUAUCUAAUCAUUAACCUUAAAAAAUUUCAAAAACUAGGUAAUUUUCUUUAUGGCAGUCUGAGAGAAAGAGAGAACAUGAAAGAGAUAGAUCAAAAAGAUACAGAUAAAUAUGAUGGAAAGACGGAGUGAGUUUCUAAAGAGAGAGAGCGAGAAAGCAAUAAGAGAUAGAAAGAGAGCAUAUAGUAUUUUAAAAUACUUGAGGAAAUAAUUUCGAAAACGAUUUACUGAUGAUGUUUAAUACUUCUGAUGAGAGAAAUUAAAUGCACUCUUUACAUAUGAUUUUUAUAAUCACGAAAUUACUCGCACUUUUCCUUUUGUUGAUUUUUUUUAACAAACAAAUUUAAAAAUUGAUUUUAGUUAAAAAAGAAAUUCUGUACAGAUAUUUCAAAUAUACACUGGAAAAUAAUGAAUGUUCUGCACACUAAAUGAUGUAUGAUUACACCAUUACAAACUCUUCUAUGUGCCAAUAUUAAGACAAAGAAAAAAUAAUAGCCACACAAUUUUUAGGUAUUUUUGCCAACCAAUUUAAUUAGAAGAACUUACUAUUCAAUAUCAAAUACAUACACAUAUAAAUUCAUGAAGUAAAAAGCUUUAUCUACGCUGAACUGAAAAAGAACUUUUUAUGCUGAAUUCGAAAACAGGAUACAGUCAUAUUUUUCAAGCAUUGAAUUUUCUAGAGGAAAUUAAAAUGUGGUAAUUAAUAAAAAAAAUAAAGAUAAGGUAUAUAAAUUGAUGUGACUUCGAUGUUAAAAUGGGUAUAAGCAAAACAAAAAAGCAACACUACCACAACAACAAACAAAACUUAUGAACUUACAACACUUGAUUACAGGAAGAAAAUGUUUAAAUUUAUUACUGCUAAAUACUUACUGAAUAUAAACCAUACACCAACACAUACACACAAACUAAUAAGUGUCAAAAUAAGUAAAAAGUAUUACAAAAAAUACUAGCGUGUAACUAGUAAUUUGCGAAUAUAAAAGUGCAGCAAAUGGUAAUACAAUUGGAUUCGGUUCUAGACCCACAAAAGUAUUAUCAAAACUUAUUUGAAAAAAUUUAAAUGAAAAAAUAAAAAAAAAAUUAUUUAACUGUAGCAAAAGCGCAAAGCGAAAGCUAUAAAUCAGUAGGAGACUACAGGAAAGCAUAUUGAAAAAAAUUUACACGCAAUUUUUUCGCAGUGUAGGAAGGGUUUUUAUGCGAACCAUUUAACAUAUAUAAAAUAAAUAAGAAGUACACACAUAAAUACAUGCAUACAUAUACACUUGCAUGCGCAUAUAUGUAUAUAAAUUUAUUAUAUAUACUAACAUAUAUACUAAGACAGCAAAUUGUAGGCGAAGAAACAACAAAACCAACCAACCAACAAAGGGGGCGAAACUAUUUCGUGAUUUAAAUGACAAAUAUUUCGCUUUCGACGACAAACCAACUUCAAAGCAAUCAUUUUUGAAGAAAUUAAUAAAAAAAAUAUUGUAUUGAAUCUUAAAAAAUAUAUUAUUACAAUUAUAUCACAAAUAUUUAGUGAAUUUUUUUAAGAAUGUACUGUAAGAAAAGUUAAACAAAAAACAAAAUAAAUAAAUAUUGCAGCGAAAAUAAUAUCGCUUUAAACCAAAAGUCACAAGCUUAAUUUGAAGUAACUGCAUUGAAACUGAGAAUAUUAAUGUGCUGAAUGUGCAAAGCAAAGUGCUGAAGGAUUUGAAAAUCUUAAUGUGCGCCGAAAAGUGUCUUUAGUAAAGACGCAUGACAUAACGAUGCAUGUAAGCAGCCAGAAGAGUGUGGCAUAUGCUGACAAAAGUGCUGAAUUGCAACAGCAGUUUUCUAAUGAGCUGAAUUGAAGCGCUUAAUAUCGCGGUUUGUUUUUGGGUGCUGAACUGCAUGAAAACAUGUUGCUGAAUUGCAUUCAUAGUUGCUGAAUUGCAUUUAGAAUUGCUAAAUUGUAGUCAGGGCUGCUGAAUUGCAGUACUGAUUGAGCUAAACGUAGCGCCGACAAGUAAAUUCUAUAGCAAAAAGUUACAUAAAAUGAAAUUGUAAACUUUACAAACCAUUUUUGGUUUUUCAAAUUCGAAUUAAAAGUAUACAACUCUUCUUAACUGAGUUUAUAAAGUAGUUCUAAACAGGCUGAAUCACUUAGCUACCAGUAGCAGAAGCAUGUUGAGAAUGAUUUAGCUGGAUAUGCAAGAUAUAACUUGUAUGCACAUGCAGUCCUAAUAGUAGGUCUAGAAUAUUAGGAAAACAAUGAGCUGAAUUCAGCGCAAAAUAUGGUUGGAGCGUAAGCUCAAGAACAGCUUUUUGAUAUUUGGCUUUAGCUGAGUACAUUUUUCAACAGCUGAAUGCAACUUAGUGCAGAUUUUUGAUAUUUGGCUUUGGCUGAAUACGUAUUUCAGCAGCUGAAUGCAACAUAGAGCAACUUUUUAAUAUUUGGCUUUGGCUGAAUACACUUUUCAACAGCUGAAUGCAACUUUUAUCAGCAAAAAUUGCUCUAACAUGCUUCUAAACACUCAAAUGUAAGAAAUUAAAGCUGUUAUUUGGCUAAUAAAAUUUGAAAAAUGCGCAGAAUAGACGAAGUACAAGCUGAAUAUGACGAAUUUAAGCUUAUAUACAAUGGUGAUGUAGAUUGUGAUGCGCACAACAAUCAGUGGCAUGCUAAAGUGUGAUGUUUUUUAAUACAUAAAUGUUAUGUGCCACAGUUGAGGGUUACUAAUGACUGAAGCAGCACCAAUUAACAACUAAAUACAUACAAAAAUAUAAUAAAAAUAGAAUGAAACAAACAGGCCGACAAACUGAUAUAGAAAAGCAGCCGAUUGAAGAAUUAUAAAUAGAUUUGUUGCACUAUACUUAAAACAAACAACAACAAUACUACCAAAAUAUCACAACAAAAGACAAAAAAACAACCGAAACGGUAACUGCAACAAAAAAGGGAUAAACACUACUAAAAUUGCAAUAAUAUGGGAGACAUAUACAUACAUAUGUACUAUAUACAUAUAUACAAAUGUUUAGCCGAGUGGUUAGUUAAUUUAGCACAAAUUAAAGCGAUAACAACAAUUAGCAAAAUAUGUUGAGGGUGUUCAAGGUAGAAGCGAAUGCAGUCGAUGAAAGGAUAACGUUGACAAUGACAAUGGACUAUGAUUAUGAUAAUGACUUUGACUAUUGAUAAUAAUGUUGAGGGGGAAUGAAGUUGUUGCUAACUAACGUGUUUACGUUAUUUUAUUAUGAUACUGUUGGGAAUAUUGUACAUUCGCCAAAAUAUAAUGGAAAAUACGUGUAAAGAAAGCAAUUGUAAUGGUGCCUUAAUUACAAAGUGUUUAAUUUCCUAAAUUUAAAUAUGUAAAAAUAAAUCAAUAAUGAUGAUUAUGUAAUAAUGUAUAAACAAUUGAUUCCAAUAGUCGAAAUAUGAAAGGCUUCUUCUACUUACUGUAAAUUUCCCUAACGAACAUACGAGCAUAUGUAUGUGCAUAAAUACAAAAAUAUUAACAAAAAAUGUAUUUAAAAGUUUCUCCAAAAAUAAACUAAAGCCCAACAACUACGCCAAAAUGGGUGAAAAGCUAAAACACAAAUUUCGCUGAUUUGCUGUGAAACCUAAAAGAAAGUGCCGAAGUGACACGAAAUUGAGAGCAAAAAACACAAAGGCCAGUAAUCAGACUUUCCACAACUGUAUCUAAGAAACAUUCUCCAAAAAGAAAUUGCGUAACUCUUAAAAUUUCCGCUUUGUGUGCCCCCUUAUGCGCCACCACCAAUGUUGUUAUCCCUUAAGAAAAAAAACACGAAAGCAAACCAAACAGUACUACAAACUACGGUCCGCAUGUCAACCAAUGUCAAACCAAGGGCAAAUGAAAGCAAAACCUCGAAAAACCGUACAACAAUUAAAGCACACACAUACUAAAUGUAAGGCCCAGACAAGUUACCAACCAUGAAAACCGUAUACCAAUCAUACAGCUGGCAUAAUGAUGAAAUAUAUGAAAAUAACGGAUAUCCAAUGAUAUUUACAACACAGCAAAGACAACAAAUCCAAUCCAAACAACAAAAUAUGUGCAAUAAAUAAUUUGAAAAAUAUAUAUGCAUAUAACUAUUUCGAUACAAAACCACACGCGUUUACCCUAAUGAUUGAAAAAACAAUGUAGGCAGCGCUGUCAACGAGUUGAAUGGUAACGAAGCAAAGGCAGGGGGAUCUAGCUAUUGUUUACGAGCAUCACACUUGCUCAAUUGUAGACCGCUUAUAAUAGAGAACUAAGAGUUAAAAGAAAAAUAUGUAUGUAUGAGUACAAAUGGUUCUAGCCAUUACAAAGUUGCAAACAGCGACAGGAUUGUUCAAAAACCGAGCUCGAAUUAUAGUGUCCGAGAUUUUGUUAUAGAGUACAAGCAAAAGUACAAGUACUACGAAAGGUUCUCAAAGAGUAACCGACAUUCUCUUUCUCAUACUCUUUAUUAGCUCACUAUAAAGGUGCGCUAUGUCUUUGAUUUAACGAUAUUCUUUCAAUGACUUGAAAGUAAACAUGUCAUCAUGAUAUGAGUAUAAAAAUUAAAAAAAAAAUUAAAAACUCGUCACUUUUCAGAAUAUUUUCCGAGAUAUUGAUACUUUUUGAUCGUCAGUUAAUUUUCCACAUAUUCAAAAGAAGAUUAUCCCUGCUUGGGUCCAUCAAAAGCGCGUUACUACUUUCGCAAGCCUUUACUUAAUAUUUUAAUAGCUGUAGUAUAACGGAGUAUCGUUACCGCUCGUCUGACAGCCGCCGCUUUCUCUUUACACUGACCAACAACCACUGUAGUUAAAUGCAAGUCAAAAUAUUUACAAAAAAAAACCGUAAACAGUUAUAUGUAUAUAUGAAAGUAAAUAUUAAGCGAUAAUUGAAAUCGAACAAAGGUUAAGAAAAUAUACAUACAUAUAUACAAAUUAAAUUUAUUAAAUUCAAUUGAUUGUAGCAUAGAUUUUUUCAGUUAUUGUAGUAAUACAUUCAGAAGUCUGUAGUUGUACUUAGAAAUAUUAAGAGGAUCACACAAAUUACAACAAACAAAUUGUUGAGUAAAAUCGCAACAAAAUGUAUUAAAUUAUUGCAACCAAUAAUUAGCUUAAAGUAAUUUUUUUUCGCAAAAAUAUUAACACCUUGUGACUUGCAACAAAUUUUGAAUGUUUUUUCGCGUAAAAUGAUUUUUAAGUAUCUCAAUGUAUAGAAAACCACACAUUAUUCAAUAAAUAUUGCCAAAAAAUAUAUAUUGUAUGUUUACUUAUUAUACAUACAUGUGUGUAUUUGUCAGAGACGUUUUGAAUUUUAAAAAUUGCAAACCCGUUCAAAAACACACACAUAUUUACAUACAUAUCCCGCACAUGCCCCAAACCGCCACACCCACGACUUUUAUGUGUAUUUGUACACAGCAAUUUACAGAUUACAGAAGCAUUAGUAUUUACGAAAAAAUAUUGCAUUAUAAGCAAAUAAAUGCGUAGCUCAUAAGGUGUAAGGUUAGUUUUUAGGUACGUCACAGGAUUGACAAUUUGCGAGUAUUAAGCGACAAACAAAAAAUACUGUUAAAGUUUAUUUACAUAAAGAAUGAAUAAUAUGUAGGAAAACUAAAUGAAAAAUAAAGUGAAAAAAAGAAAAUGGUGUAUGUAUACAUAGUACACAUAAGCCAGUGAAUAAAAAAAUGUAUCUACAAUAUAAGGUAUUUUAGAUAUUCUUAUUUAAUAUCCGCAAACAAAAAAACAUGAACAUUUAAUAGGUUACAAAUGAAAUGAAAGAAUUUAAAACACACAAAAUAGUUGGAAAACUGAAAAACAAAUAUGAACUGCGAAGAAAAGUUCGACAACUGAAAAUACAUGAAUACAUACAUAACCAAAUUGAAGACAAGAAAGUGUUGAAUGCUUUAAAGGUCGAAUAGUUGGCAUUAAUAACUACAGUUGGCAGUAGAAUAUAUAAAGUUUGGGUUUCAACGACGACGCCAGUGCAACGUUUUAAACUUUCGAGCUAUUCAGCGCUACAAAUAUGCAAAAUUUUGUGUUUUCAGCUAUUCAGCGCUGCAAAUAUGCAACAUUAUAUAUUUCAGCUACUUUGCGGCAUUAGUACUUUUUUCUUAAGUUUUAUUUUUUAUUAAAACAUUUAUAUCUCAAGUUUAACCACGUUGUUUAACAGCAAUUCAGCGCGCUGAAAAGUAAUCAAUACGCGUAUUUAAGUGGUAGUAAUGCUUAGGGUAUCAUUCAGCAAACUAGCUGAAUGUAAUCUUAAGCGGAAUUGCAAAACCUUGAAGCCAAAAUUAAUUGGUAAUUGGCUCAAUGUAGUUUUUAUGCUGAAUUGGAAAGUCUUAAUAGAAAAAUUUGUUAUUAUUUUCACUGAAUUAAUUUCUAUAUUUACAAUCAUUCAAUCGUUUUUAACUAGUUACGGGCUAUUCAGCUAGCUUGAAACCUUAAUAUAAGAUACAUAUACAAAAGAUGUUGACCAUUUAGUCAUAAUUUAUUUCAAAUGAGAUUCAGUGCACACACUGAUGUAGUAAACAAUUAUUUUAUUGUGGCUAUAUUAAAAUUUAAUCUUAUUCAAUCGUUUUUUAGUAGUUAUGGGCUAUUCAGCUUGCAUAAAACCUUAUUUAGCGCUUCCAACAAAAUAUGUUCACUAAUUAGUUAAAAUCUAUCCAAACCACACAAUUUUGCUCAAUCUGAACCGCUUUCAGCACACGCAAAUGUAUUUUUCAAGGAUAAGUAAUAAUAUGCAAUAUUCAUAGAACGUUAAUUGUAUCAAGAAAAUGAUUUUUAUAUCAAAAUAAUAUGCAAAUUACUAUUUUCUAGUGUCUAAAUAUAAUUAAGCUGAAUCUAUAAUCAAUUCAGCGCGCUGAGUUUUCGCUGAAUGUCUCAAAAUAUUUUAAUCUAAUUUAAUAUAUUUUAAAAAUUUUCAAUCAAUCAAGGUUUUUAGUUACAACCGGCAGCGCGUUCUUCAUUGAGACCCCAACUGAUAGACGAGAAAAUGAAGGCUAUUUGCCCGCGAUAUGAACAAGAACUGCAAACAAAUACAUACAUACAAUAUAUCGUAAACACAAAUAACAACAAAAAUACGACUUUCGAAAUAGAUAUGGUUUCUUAAAGAUGAAAAACAAAAAACAUAAAUAAAUGCAUACAUACACACUUACAAGUAAAUAUACAUACUUAUAUACUUAUAAAAAAAAUAAUUAAAACAUUGCAACAAAAACAACAAAUAUUUAUAUUAAAAACUUAUAAAUAUGUACUAGUAAAAUGUGAGAUUUUCAAAAACAAAAACAAAAGAAAAUAUUGUUCAAUAUUUAAGGCAAAUUAAUUUAAGCAGAGCGGUUGCAAAUUAAUUGAAAAAUAAUAGUAAGAAAAACAAAGAAUACAUAUUUUAAAUUGAAACAUAUUUACAAUAAAGAAUAAAACAAAAAAUGGAAAAUGGUUAAGACAAUAUUGUUUGUAAAUAUUAUAUUAAAAACUGAAAAUUAAAUAAUAUAAAUUAUUAGUAUAAAAAAGAAAAACAAAAUAUAAAAGCGCUAAGCCAGAGAUAGAGUGGGCAAUUUCAGCUGUUUGUUAAGCGUGAAGCAAAAAGAUUUAGCAAGCAAAAGCUAUUCUCAUACAUGAGUUCAAUGUUUGCUUGUGUUAGUUCUAAUAUUUUUAAUAAAAAUUAUUAGUUAAUCGCUUAUAUAUAUGUAAGAUGAAUAUGUUAGUAAAAAUAUUUCCACAAAAAGUUUUAUUUAAAUUUAAUUUAAUUAUUUUUAAAUAACUUGAGGUUACUAUUUAAAAUAUUCACUGCAGUUCUGCUUUCUAAUUGCUUUGAAUUGUGCCAAAAGAACAUCAGAAAAUAAUUUUAAAUUUACUAAAGCAAAACUAUGAAAAUACAAAUUAGGUGGCAAUAUUUUAGGCAAUAUUUCUAUUUCUGUGGAAAAGUGCUUUACAAAUAUUAGAGUGAACAAACCGAAAUUGCUGCAGCUGCAUAUUGUAAAGAAAGUAGUGAAAGCGAUUUUAGCGCAAAGGGUAAUGAUUUGAUUGGCUUUAAUUUAUCACUGAAAUUAUAUGUAAAAAAAAUUAAAAAUCUAAAUGGUAUGUAGGCACCAUUUUAAAAAUCUUAUAUAUAUACAUAGCAAUAAAAGUUAAAUGCAGUAUACAAGUCUAUACAACUUGGAGAAAAUGAUAAACAAACACAUACACAAACAAAUUUAAUGCUGUAAUGUGUAGCGGGUAUAAAAACGCAAGAAAAUUGGAAAAUUUAGUUGAAAAAUUUAGUGAGCGUCAAAUAGUAUUAAAGUAGACGAAAAAAUUGCUAACAUAUAUAAAUAUCAAAAAACAAAUGUAACACUUUGGUAACAACAACAAAACAAAGGAAUUUCACGAAUUUCACUUAACAGCAAUUUAGAUAAAUGAAAAAAGUAAGAAAACGCGCAUAAUAAAAAGAAAAAAAUUUAAACAAAAAAUAAAAAAUAUGAGAAAAAUAUUAAUUAAGAAGUGCUUAAAAAAGCGUUUGAAAAAUAAAUUAAAUAAAGUGUGUAGUAAAAGAAAAUGUUUAGUAAGGCAAUAAAAGCUGUUUGCAAACAGGUGGCAACACACUGUGACUGGUUGUACGACCACCAAAAGCGUUUACUGCUUUAUUUAUUUUCUAUUAAUUCGACAUGUAUACCUUUCACACAAUUUUAAUAAAAAAAAAAAAAC